UAAGUCAGCCACGAAUAGGCUAUCCCAACUAACGGCGGGAAAGACUCCACGGAGGGUGUAAGACCCGUGUGGGCGCGUGUUAAAGCUGUGUGGGCUCGGCCUCCAUUCCCUGAGAGUCGCGUUGCUUGAGCAUGCAGCGCUAAGCAGGUCGUAAACUCGAUCUAAGGCUAAAUAUCUCCACAGAACCGAUAGCGAACAAGUACCGUGAGGGAAAGUUGAAAAGCACUCUGGAGAGAGAGUCAAAAGACCGUGAAACCGCUCAGAGUAUAAGCCCAUGGCAGCUUGGAAGGCAUAUCGCUAGCGGGGCAUCGGUCUCCCUUCGCGGGGAGCUGGUGUUACCUUGCUUCUGUUGUGGCUCGUCAUGGUAGGGGGGUCAAGUCCACAUCCCGCCGUCGUGUGGGGGGUUCUUGGGUGUGUUGUGGUUUCUCGGUUGGCUUCGGCUUGCCGGGGGGCUCUUCGUGCUCGGUUCCCUUUUAGACACGGACGUUCAGACUCAGUUGCAAGACGCGAUAACCAGCCCACCACGGCACGUUGUGAGGUCACCCACAGGCUCGACUUUCGAUCGUGAACCUUGACGCCGAGCAAGCACAAUGCGUGUCGCUGAUGUUCCUAACCAGGCAAUGUUGCCAGGAUCGUGGAACGACACGCGCUCAACAGUCAGGUUCGGGCGGAGACAGAGUUCUGGUACGAUCCUCUUGCGACGAGCCGGCUUCUGGCCGACGUCCGAUGCUCAGGUCUCCCGCAUGUGCCGCGGGAGAUCGCUUUGACGGUCUGGA
rnacentral:rRNA from 1 species